rnacentral:lncRNA from 1 species
CUUUUGUCCCUAUCACUGGAGAAUGGGUUUGGUGCUUUGAGCUGUGUUUCUACAUAAAAAAGAAGGAAUCAAAGUGAUGCUGGUGUGACAAUAUAACAUUUGAAGCUGCUCCAAACAACUUUGACUGUAAGAAAAAGGCCAAGAGAAUACAAGAGGCUCUAACCAAGGACUCUGACUUCACUAAGCCACUGAAACAUUCCUGGCACUACCUACCUCCUGCCUUUUCGUUAUGGGAGGAAACCCUAUUGGUUAGGUCACUGGCAAGAACCAUGAAUGGAGCUUCAGGACUGGAAGUUGCUCGAGGU